AGUAGCUCUUGUUCAAUCUGUAAAAAACAUACUUGUGUCAGAAUAUCAGGAAUUCAGUAUUCGAAACAAGCAUCCAAAGAAAAAUAUACCCACAUAAUUGACAAUGAAGAAUCCACUGUAUUUCCUUUUAUGGCUAAUUGUCUUGCUCUGGCUGUCGUUCUUUGUGGCCUUUUUCGGGGCCUUCUUCUAUAUCUGGACUUAUAUGUUCUCUCAAUGCACUGACUGCUGCGAAGGUAUUGCUACAUUUUUCCUGAAGUGCGUUCAGUUUCCCGGAUACUGUGCUGCAGGUAUGAUGCAGUGCAAGAAACCGUGCUAGAAUCGACGAAGAUGGCAAGGGGCGGCCACCCGCCACCCUUGAUGCGGCACAGUGUCGACACUCACCGUUUACCACUGUAACAUAAUUAUGCAGUUUUCUUACUUCACUGUCGAUAAUGCCAGAAGGUCUUCCUCUGCGUCUGAACUUCCUUCAACUGCAAAACUACCUGCAAUAUACUUGUGUUUUAACACAGUUUGCUUGCUUUACUGUCGAUACAGCCAGAAGAUCUUCCUCUUCGUCUAACCUUCCUUCAUUUAAGAAACCAUCUCCGACAUCGUAAGCAGAUUACUUCAGAAUAAUAGUGACUAGAAGAUCAGUGGAUGAUGACAUUGAGAAAAUCUAUUUUAUUCAACAGUUUUAUGGUAGAAUUGCUUAAAUUUUUCAACACUUAUCGGCAAUUAGCAUGAAUGACUUAUUAACACAAUCCUCAAGUUUUUAAGACUGCUUUGUAUCCGGCGAUCAAAAUAAAUUUAAACAUGCGAAUCCAGCAGUGUGGAAGGCUUAAUU